rnacentral:rRNA from 1 species
CGUAGGUGAACCUGCGGAAGGAUCAUUACCGAGCGAUGGGGGUUCCUUCGCGGGCCCUCAGCAACUCACCAUCCUGUGAUGAACGACGAAAACGACUGCUUCGGCGGGUAACCCCGCCGGCAGUACCCCUCCAACUCGCUAUUUCUGUGUUGUCUGAGCGUAUAUAUAAAUAGUCGAAAAACUUUCAACAACGGAUCUCUUGGUUCUGGCAUCGAUGAAGAACGCAGCGAAAUGCGAUAAGUAAUGCGAAUUGCAGAAUUCAGUGAGUCAUCGAAUCUUUGAACGCACAUUGCGCCCUCUGGCAUUCCGGGGGGCAUGCCUGUCCGAGCGUCGUUUCCAUUGCCCACUCUGGGCUGACUACGAGCCUCUGUGCUCGACGAUGGGUCACGUCGCUUCCGGGCGACGGGCCCCAAAAUGAGGGUAUAGGUGUCGAACCUUCAACCGCAGUAGAAAACAUUCCGGUUUGGAAGGGUUGGCGCUGGUGCCAGAUCUCUUUGAGAUAGCGUAGCUCAGCGAUGUCACGCCGGCGGAGUGCCCGUCAGCACCCCAGAAUUCGACCUCGGAUCAGGUAGGGAUACCCGCUGAA